ensembl:snRNA U6 U6 spliceosomal RNA
GUGCUCACUUUGGCCACGCAUCUAUUAAAAUUGGAAUGAUACAGAAAAGAUUAGCAUGGCCCCUGCAUUAGGAUGACACACAAAUUCAUGAAGUGUUCUAUAUUUUU